GGUCAGCACGGAACAGACGGUGUAUCUGUGCAACUAGCAGUUGCUGAGGAAUUGUGCUGUCUGAAGAGACCAUGCUGUUUGAUGGAGCCCCGAGAAAGGACACGUGAAGUAAAACAUUGCAUACUCACAGAACUGCGGACUACACAACUAGAAGAACGGCACCAGGCAGUACGAGUGAUGUGAGGCCAGAGAAGUGUAGGAGCAGAAAGACCACCACCAUGAACCCUGCAGUUACAAGAACAGCAGCAGCAACAACAACAGCAACAGGCCAAGAGUGAAA